rnacentral:lncRNA from 1 species
UCCAAAUGGUGAAGUUGAAAUCAUCCCUUCGUAAAUUUUACGGACGCCAUCACGAGUUGGUUGACCGUUAUGGAAUAACCAUUUCACAAAUGAUAUCGGAUAUGUUCCUCACGUCGUAACUACAAUCCCCUUCCCUUUCAUGAAUUUGACAUACCGAAUUAGACUAUUUACCGGAUUUGUAAUCACAUAAGCAACACGACGGGUGCCGCAUGUGGAGCAGGAUCUGCUUACCCUUCCGGAGCACCUGAGAUCACCCCUAGUUUUUGGUGGGGUUCGUGUUGUUUAUUCUUUAGUUUUCUAUGUUGUGUCAUGUGUACUAUUGUUUUUCUGUUUGUCUUUUUCAUUUUUAGCCAUGGCGUUGUCAGUUUGUUUUAGAUUUAUGAGUUUGACUGUCCCUUUGGUAUCUUUCGUCCCUCUUUAAUUAU